CUGUGUAACACACAUUCUCUCAACCCUUUCACCUCACAGGGGCUGUACUCAAACUGCGCUGUGCUCAAAUUACAGGCCCUUUGAAAGGGAAAGGAGUGUGAAGUGAGGAGGUAAAUGGAAUCUGCUUGUGAAUGCUUCCCCAAAGAAGCACGAGAGGCAGCGAGUCCUACCCCAUAGUUAUUCAUGGAGUUGGGCCGGCCUUUAGGCAUGUCCGACUGCUCAAAGUUCUCCAGCUCAUCCACAAAGGCUUGGCAGAACUCCUCUGUGAACACCGGGAGUCGAUAGAUCCUCUUGUCUGUGAAGAGAAGGGAGAUGCUGUUUGUUGGGGAAAAUAGGAGGUGAGAGUAUCCUCGGCUGUCGGGCUGUGCCGUGUCAGUGGGAACGCGGGACCCACGCACUUCGUUUUGUGCUCAGGCACAGGAACUGCUCCCCAGGAUCAGCUCUGGGAUGUGUUUGUUGUUCUUCAUGUUGGACCCUUGUUCCCAGGCUUCCCCAUCCAGUCAGGAAAGCUGGUACUGAUCUAAAUGCCAGCUGGGUGUGCUAAGGAAAUGUUUUGAGAAUCUAGAGGGAGAGUGGGGAGUCAACAGCUGCCUGGUGGGAGGAGACUCAGGGUCAUUUAGGGGGUGACAGGGGAUUCUCUCAUCCAGCCCUGUCCCGGGAGGACCAGUCCUUCUGAGCCACCUCUCAGGGUAGACCCCUAAAGGUCUGUGCAAGGGGAGCUCAGUAUCGAGAGAAGCUGAGAUAAAGCCAGCAUGGAAGACCUGUGUGUCUGGAAAUGGUGCCCUGGACAUCUCCAGGAGCCCAGCAUGUACACAACAUUUGCGUCUUUUUUGCCUUGAGAAAAGGAGGAAACUUUGCAGCUUUGCCUCUACAUAUUUUCAGCGUUCCUGGUAGGGAGAGAGCUUCCCGGAUGCCCCCAGGGAAGCUGAAAACCCAGAUCUCUUUUUAAGAGACUGACAUCCAGACUGAAACUAUUUCAGCUCAGACUAACCAACAGGGAUUGUUUGAAAUGUUAAAGCACUUGGGGAGGGAAAACCAAGCUCCCUGGACUAAGAGUGUUCUUUCAGCUGGCUCCCCAAGAGGUUGUGGUACCAAAACCCCAGCCCUGCUGCAGCCAGAGCCUCUGGUGAGACACGGGCAGCCUGGGACUGGAAAAGCAGAAAUCAGGAUCUCAUCUGGAGCACAACUGCUGCACAGUCCUGCCUCUCCAGAGACCCUCGUCAAGCAGAAAAUAACAUCCUGUUUAUCUCGGCUGUGUGUCAAAUCUGAGUGAUUAAAUCAGGGCUUGAAAUGAGCUGUCGUUGCUGGAGCUGCAGUGUCACAUGUGGAGAUCUUUGUGGCUGAUGAGUUGUUUUCUUUACCUGAGAAGGACUCGAUGUAGCGCAGGAGGCCGUGGAGAUCAGCAUCUGGUGAUGUGCAGUAUCUCACGAUUUCUAGAAAAUCUGGGGCCAGGAAUGAAUCCUGGCAUCAAGGGAAAGAUGAUAAAAGGACACAAACACAAUUAUCUUGUGCAGUCUUACAGCCCAAGAGGGAAGUGGAUUUCCAGGCAGCCACAGGAAAACAUGCAGAGUCUAGGGAGCAGGGCUGGCAGUCACACUAGUCUGUGCUAAGCCCAUAAAGGCUGAUUUCUGUGGCUGUUUGUUAGACCUGUUUGCUGCAACAAUGUGUUAGUUCUAAAUGACUAAUGGUAUUGUGAGUACAGUACUGGGGCGGGCGCAGCUUCGAUAUGGAAUGACCCUUAUCUGGCUGUACCUCAGAUGUAAUCUUGCCUGGAGAACAUCACACUGGGAACAUCACACUGGGAAAGUUUUAAAUCCAGUUUUAGUAUGCUAUACUUCGGUUUUAAUUCGGUCCAGCUCUAGCACAUUGAGCAAUCCCGAGCAGAGGGCUUCCCACUGCUAAAAUAAACCAUGAGGAAACUCAUUGGGUGCAAAACAGAUCCCAAACAUCCCACCUACCUGCAGAACAUACACUUCGGGGUGUUUUUGUUUGUAGCACUUUGAGAUGACAGCUUUGCGUUCCACUGACUGAUGAAUUAACUGUUUUCUUCUCUGCACUUCUGCCUCGAUCUAUAAGUAAAAGAAUAGAGCAUAUCAUUAGAAAAUCAAAAGGGAUAACUAAAACAGUUCCAGGAAUUUGCUUAUCAUUUUAAACCUCUGGGAGACAGAGUGUAUAGCUCCUCUUUGCUGUAGUCAAGACAAGUCCAAUAAAUAUCUGAAAAGCCAAACGCCUAAGAGGGAUUUGAGAAGCUUUCUCUUUAUGGGUGGCUUAAAAAAAAUAACUGGAGUCUUUCUGUGGAUGUGUCAAGUGGAGCUGUGAGAUUUUAGCCCUUUCAGGCAUUCUGACGCCUCAUGAAUCGCUGGCCUACGCUUUAAGAGUCCAGCUUAUGUUCUGACAAUAAACCAUUGUCCAAAAUAAAGACAUUCGCUGGGAGGGAGACAAGACUUGUCAUGAAGGGAUUACUGCUAAGUGUUGUGGGGACAGGCUAAUCUGUCAUUUCAGAGGAAGCAGCUGUAGUAGCAGCUGAUUCAGGCAGCUCUUCCUAUUUAAUAACCCCCUGAGAUCAGUUUAUAACAUUCCUUAGAAAAUAAAGGAGGGAGGGUGUGACCAGUACCCCUUGCUCCUGACCCUGGUGAGUGGAACUGAGUAUCUCAUCAUCUUUUAUGUGAUUAUUUUUUGAGUCUAGAUCGUGAUGGUUAUAUAGGAACAACAAAACAUGUAUUAAGAUCUGACCUGAUCUGCAGAGGGUCCAGGUGAUUAGAAAUUGUAAGUUAGAUUAAACUAGGAUCUAGGGGAUUCAAAAUUACAAGUUAAGAUCUAGAAAUCCUGAGUUAAGUUGUAUUACAAAUUCUGUAUUGUGCUGCUUAUUGUGCUACUUUGAUUUUGCUUGUAGAAGUUGUGUCAUUCAAAUAAAAGAAUCCUGGGCUACACUAA